rnacentral:misc_RNA from 1 species
UCCGAGUUGACCCCGGCAGUCUCCUGCGAGUCCCCGCCAUUACGCGCUGGCAACACAGGACAAGGGUUGCGCUCGUUGCGGGACUUAACCCAACACCUCACGGCACGAGCUGACGACAGCCAUGCACCACCUGCGCAGAAGUCCCUUGCGGGAGGUUCUGGCUUUCGCCAAAAUUUCCUCUGCAUGUCAAACCCUGGUAAGGUUCUUCGCGUUGCUUCGAAUUGAGCAACAUCCUCCACCGCUUGUGUGAGCCCCCGUCAAUUCCUUUGAGUUUUAGCCUUGCGGCCGUACUCCCCAGGCGGGGCACUUAAUGCGUUAGCUUCGGCACGGGAGGAGUCGACACCUCCCACACCUAGUGCCCAUCGUUUACGGCGUGGACUAC